rnacentral:rRNA from 1 species
UACGUAGGGUGCGAGCGUUGAUCGGAAUUACUGGGCGUAAAGCGUGCGCAGGCGGUUAUUUAAGACAGAUGUGAAAUCCCCGGGCUCAACCUGGGAACUGCGUUUGUGACUGGAUAGCUGGAGUAUGGCAGAGGGGGGUGGAAUUCCACGUGUAGCAGUGAAAUGCGUAGAGAUGUGGAGGAACACCGAUGGUGAAGGCAGCCCCCCUGGGCCAAUACUGACGCUCAUGCACGAAAGCGUGGGGGGAGCAAACAGGAUUAGAUACCCUGGUAGUCCACGCCCUAAACGAUGCGAACUAGGUGUUGGGGGAGGAGACUUCCUUAGUACCGCAGCUAACGCGUGAAGUUCACCGCCUGGGGAGUACGGUCGCAAGAUUAAAAC